CGUGCACAUCUCCAUCAUCAGGGAUAUCAGUAAUGUUAUCGGCAUCCAUGCUCCAGCACCAGUCAUUGUCAUGAGGGACCUGGAUCACCGUAUGUUGAGCUUUGACUCGUGGCAGUCACACACAUACAGGGCAUACUAACCGAAUGUCAUCCUGAAGACUCAGGGUGGAGGAAUUACUCAGCACAGUGGAGGAGUUAGAAAAUAAGUUGCUGGUGAGAUCAAUUCUGAUCAAAGAGAAUGCGAUGAGAAAAAACUGAAUAACAGAUGACUAUCCUCUCCCUCUGGUCUGGGAGGUGGAGCCUACCUGCCAGCUUUUCUAUGUACCAAAAUCUGGAAAUAAUCCUAAAGUCCGUUCAACAGUACAAUGGACAAAUAUGGCACACAUUCAUACAGUGAAAAUGAAUGAUCUGCUGCUACACACAACAUGGAUGGAUGCCACAAAUAUAAUGACUAAAAUAUAACUAACUAAAAGAAGCCAGACAUAAAAGAACGCAGACUUGUCUGACUCCAUUCACAAAGAAUACAAAACCAGGCAAAAGAAGGCUACAGUGCUAGAAGUCAGGACUGUGAUUACCCUUGAAUGGAGGGGAGGGAGGGACUGGAAGAGGACGUAUGUUCUACUACAUGAUCUAGGUGCUGGUUACAGAGAAGUGUUUACUUUGUGAAAAUUCACUGAAGUUCAUAUUUCAUAUGUGAUCACUUUUCUAAAAUGACGUUUCAAAUUUUUCUUUUUUUUGAGACGGAG